rnacentral:misc_RNA from 1 species
GAUGAAGAACGCAGUGAAAUGCGAUACGUAAUGUGAAUUGCAGAAUUCAGUGAAUCAUCGAGACUUUGAACGCACAUUGCGCCCCCUGGUAUUCCGGGGGGCAUGCCUGUCCGAGCGUCAUUGCUGCCCUCAAGCACGGCUUGUGUGUUGGGCCUCCGUCCUCCUCCCGGGGGACGGGCCCGAAAGGCAGCGGCGGCACCGCGUCCGGUCCUCGAGCGUAUGGGGCUUCGUCACCCGCUCUUGUAGGCCCGGCCGGCGCUUGCCGACACAUCAAUCUUUUUUCCAGGUUGACCUCGGAUCAGGUAGGGAUACCCGCUGAACUUAAGCAUAUCAAUAAGCGGAGGA